GAUGGCUACUUCUCUCGACGUCAAUAUCGAGAAACUUUCUCACCACUGGAAAUACUCCACUUGGUUAAGGCGAGGGCAGGAUACACCAUGUCAAGUCGCUUACUGUGAAUUCACCAAACCAUUUCCUGCACUGGGGAGCUAGCAGGUUAAAGGAUUUGUUGGAAAUGUUUAUCGGUUUCAAAGCUGCAGCUCAUGUGUGAAAAGGCUUUGAUGAAGAUUAGAAUCUGCUAAGUCACAGUGAGUGAUGCCCACAGUGAGUAUUUAAAUUUUUCACACACUAAAGAGCGAACACAAACUACAGAUUUUUAACGAAGGAACGAAGGUUUGGUGGGAGGAUGUAUUUUGAUUCAUAUGGCAUGUUGCUUGCCGUGCAGUGGCCUCUCCCCACCUACACAGCUAAAUGCAUUCUGUGGUUUCUCAGGACUAAAAGCUCACUGGCAAAAUGAGAAAUAGUUGUUUUUGCAUUAUAUUAUAAUUCACUUUUCCUUCCAGUAAGCAGGGCAGUUUCUUGUAAAUCAAGACACACUGUUAGCUCUGCACAGGGAUCUCAAAGCAAAAUCUAACUGAAUAUUUGCUCCUCAUUCAAAGGAACCCACGUGGAUUCCUUGUUUUUGUGCCGCGCAAACCAGAUGCAACAAGACUGUUCACGCUUCACCUUGUUUGUCUUGAUGCGUCCUUGGGUUGAACAAAAGUUCAGCAGCAGCAGCAGAGGAGACGCAUUAAGCUAAGGGGCAAACUGAGGCGGAAACACUGUGUCAUUAUUAGGCCUUUCAUCACAGCCGGCAUUAGUGGGAAGAGCGCAGGUGUUAUAAAAACCCCUCAGGAUGUCGUGACAGCGAGCUGGACCUCAAAUCAGUCAGCAAACAUAAAUGUUAUUAUUUACACCAGCUGUGACGUGUGAAAGCCUCACCUUAUAAGGUGUUAAUGUUUGCUUGUGUUUAACAUGAUUAUUCUCAGAGACAUUAUUAGAGAAACACACACGGCACUAAAAGAAAGCAAGUGUGGUGUUAGAAGUACAACAGUGGAAAAACAGCCUUUUAACACAUUCAUUCAGUG
ensembl:lncRNA